AGUAAGUGCUCUUUCAACAACAGAAAGAUUCUUGAAUAAAACCUCAACUUUUGGGGAGUCCCUAUUGGCAGGUUUAAGAAAAUUGGAAGUGGGGUUCUUGAUUUGUGCUUCAAUUGAGACAGAAGUUGAGGAAAACGAUUCUUGAAUAAAACCUGAACUUUUGGGGAGUCCCUAUUGGCAGGUUUAAGAAAAUUGGAAGUGGGGUUCUUGAUUUGUGCUUCAAUUGAGACAGAAGUUGAGGAAAACUUGAAUUUGGGACUGAAAAAAUGGGUUCUUGAUUUGGCAUUCUUGUGGUGUAAAGUUGUAGUUGGGGUACAUAAUAGGGAAGUGUUGAGAUUGUUGAAGAGGGAGUUGAAGUCAGUUUUCAGGUCAUUAGGGUCUUGCAGAAUGAGACUAAGGGAAUUGCCAAUUCGAGUUUCCAUUGUUAUUUUCUCACUGAUUCUUUUGGCUUUUUGGUGCGCACAGUUGUGGUGACAUUUGGAAAUGGAGGCCUAUGGUAAGUAGAAGAUAUAUGAGGUUUGGAGUCGGGUGGGGUGGGGAGAAAAGAAAAAAA
rnacentral:lncRNA from 1 species